AUAUAACUCUACUCAUGGAUUAUUCAAAGGAAUCAUUAAGGUUGUAGAUGAUUCAACCUUAAAAAUCAAUGGGAAGCAGAUUAAGGUUGUGAGUAAAAGGGUGGAGCCAAGAAAGUAGUUUUAUCAGCUCCAUCAGCUGAUGCUCCCAUGUUUGUGGUUAGAGUAAAUGAGUAGACAUACAAGCCAAACAUGGACAUUGUUUCAAAUGCAAGCUGUACUACCAACUGUCUUGCUCCUCUUGCUAAGGUGUGUGCGUGUGUGUGGAAACAGCAAGCUACAAGAAUAAGAAAUUUCUUUAAAAAGUAACAAAUGAGUUGUCAUUUUUUGAAAUGAUUAGUGAAAUAGUUUUUUUUUUUGGUGACCUUAUUUUUUUUUUGGAAAAGAUUAUUCCUUUUUCACUUUUCUCUUAUUUUCUUUUGCUUGGAUUUUUAGAGGAAAAUAUAUGUGUAUUUUGAAAAAUGAGGAUUGAUAGUUUUCACAUGUGAAACUGAACUGAUCUCUUUUCCUGUAGUUAUACACAAAUUUUGUCAUUUUGUAUGUGAAGUUUAGAGAUAAUGUAAGGAAAGACUGCUC